rfam:Tumebacillus algifaecis strain THMBR28 chromosome, complete genome.
UUUAGAGGUUGCCCAACUAAGGGCGCGAUGUCCUGUCGCAACGUUGGACACGGUACGUCCUGUACG